UACAGAGGUGGCAAGCGUUGUUCGGAAUUACUGGGCGUAAAGGGCGCGUAGGCGGCCUUCUAAGUCAGACGUGAAAUCCCCCGGCUUAACCUGGGAACUGCGUCUGAUACUGGAGGGCUUGAGUGCGGGAGAGGGAUGUGGAAUUCCAGGUGUAGCGGUGAAAUGCGUAGAGAUCGGGAAGAACACCCGUGGCGAAGGCGGUGUGCUGGGUUGCAACUGACGCUGAGAUGCGAAAGUGUGGGGAGCAAACGGGG
rnacentral:rRNA from 1 species